rnacentral:rRNA from 1 species
UUGCCUACGGGACGCAGCAGUGGGGGAUAUUGCACAAUGGGGGGAACCCUGAUGCAGCGACGCCGCGUGGGUGAAGAAGCGCCUCGGCGCGUAAAGCCCUGUCAGCAGGGAAGAAAAUGACGGUACCUGAAGAAGAAGCCCCGGCUAACUACGUGCCAGCAGCCGCGGUAAUACGUAGGGGGCAAGCGUUAUCCGGAUUUACUGGGUGUAAAGGGCGUGCAGCCGGAGAGACAAGUCAGAUGUGAAAUCCACAGGCUCAACCUGUGAACUGCAUUUGAAACUGUUUCCCUUGAGUAUCGGAGAGG